rnacentral:lncRNA from 1 species
GUUGCUACUAGGAAUAGUAUUCCUCAUGGCAGUGUCAAUUGGUAUUGCUUACGGAGAAAAAAAUGUGAUAAAGAAUCAUGAGAGGCCUCAGGAAAGAGAACAAGAGGAGCGCGACCCAAGACAACAGCCACGCCCUCACCUUCAGGAGGAGCAAGAAAGAGAGCAUAGGAGAGAGGAGGAGCGUGAUCGUGAGCCUUCACGUGGUAGGAGCGAGAGCGAAGAAAGCCGAGAGGAGGAGCGUGAACAAAGGAGAGAACCUCGUAGGGAGAGGGAGCAAGAACAACAACCUCAACAUGGAAGGAGAGAGGAGGAAGAAGAGUGGCAACCCAGGAGACAACGACCUCAAAGUAGAAGGGAAGAGAGAGAGCAAGAGCAAGGCUCUAGCUCUAGCUCACGUAGGCAAAGUGGUUAUGAGAGGAGGGAACAGAGGGAAGAGAGAGAACAAGAGCAAGAGCAAGGUUCUCGCUCAGACUCACGCAGACAGAGGAACCCUUAUUACUUCAGCUCUGAAAGAUUCCAAACUCUUUACAGA